UACACAUGCAGUCGAGCGGAAACGAGUUAUCUGAACCUUCGGGGAACGAUAACGGCGUCGAGCGGCGGACGGGUGAGUAAUGCCUAGGAAAUUGCCCUGAUGUGGGGGAUAACCAUUGGAAACGAUGGCUAAUACCGCAUGAUGCCUACGGGCCAAAGAGGGGGACCUUCGGGCCUCUCGCGUCAGGAUAUGCCUAGGUGGGAUUAGCUAGUUGGUGAGGUAAGGGCUCACCAAGGCGACGAUCCCUAGCUGGUCUGAGAGGAUGAUCAGCCACACUGGAACUGAGACACGGUCCAGACUCCUACGGGAGGCAGCAGUGGGGAAUAUUGCACAAUGGGCGCAAGCCUGAUGCAGCCAUGCCGCGUGUGUGAAGAAGGCCUUCGGGUUGUAAAGCACUUUCAGUCGUGAGGAAGGUAGUGUAGUUAAUAGCUGCAUUAUUUGACGUUAGCGACAGAAGAAGCACCGGCUAACUCCGUGCCAGCAGCCGCGGUAAUACGGAGGGUGCGAGCGUUAAUCGGAAUUACUGGGCGUAAAGCGCAUGCAGGUGGUUUGUUAAGUCAGAUGUGAAAGCCCGGGGCUCAACCUCGGAAUAGCAUUUGAAACUGGCAGACUAGAGUACUGUAGAGGGGGGUAGAAUUUCAGGUGUAGCGGUGAAAUGCGUAGAGAUCUGAAGGAAUACCGGUGGCGAAGGCGGCCCCCUGGACAGAUACUGACACUCAGAUGCGAAAGCGUGGGGAGCAAACAGGAUUAGAUACCCUGGUAGUCCACGCCGUAAACGAUGUCUACUUUGGAGGUUGUGGCCUUGAGCCGUGGCUUUCGGAGCUAACGCGUUAAGUAGACCGCCUGGGGGAGUACGGUCGCAAGAUUAAAACUCAAAUGAAUUGACGGGGGCCCGCACAAGCGGUGGAGCAUGUGGUUUAAUUCGAUGCAACGCGAAGAACCUUACCUACUCUUGACAUCCAGAGAACUUUCCAGAGAAUGGAUUGGUGCCUUCGGGAACUCUGAGACAGGUGCUGCAUGGCUGUCGUCAGCUCGUGUUGUGAAAUGUUGGGUUAAGUCCCGCAACGAGCGCAACCCUUAUCCUUGUUUGCCAGCGAGUAAUGUCGGGAACUCCAGGGAGACUGCCGGUGAUAAACCGGAGGAAGGUGGGGACGACGUCAAGUCAUCAUGGCCCUUACGAGUAGGGCUACACACGUGCUACAAUGGCGCAUACAGAGGGCGGCCAACUUGCGAAAGUGAGCGAAUCCCAAAAAGUGCGUCGUAGUCCGGAUUGGAGUCUGCAACUCGACUCCAUGAAGUCGGAAUCGCUAGUAAUCGUGGAUCAGAAUGCCACGGUGAAUACGUUCCCGGGCCUUGUACACACCGCCCGUCACACCAUGGGAGUGGGCUGCAAAAGAAGUAGGUAGUUUAACCUUCGGGGGGACGC
rnacentral:rRNA from 1 species